GAUGAACGCUGGCGGCGUGCCUAAUACAUGCAAGUCGAGCGAACGGACGAGAAGCUUGCUUCUCUGAUGUUAGCGGCGGACGGGUGAGUAACACGUGGAUAACCUACCUAUAAGACUGGGAUAACUUCGGGAAACCGGAGCUAAUACCGGAUAAUAUUUUGAACCGCAUGGUUCAAAAGUGAAAGACGGUCUUGCUGUCACUUAUAGAUGGAUCCGCGCUGCAUUAGCUAGUUGGUAAGGUAACGGCUUACCAAGGCAACGAUGCAUAGCCGACCUGAGAGGGUGAUAGGCCACACUGGAACUGAGACACGGUCCAGACUCCUACGGGAGGCAGCAGUAGGGAAUCUUCCGCAAUGGGCGAAAGCCUGACGGAGCAACGCCGCGUGAGUGAUGAAGGUCUUCGGAUCGUAAAACUCUGUUAUUAGGGAAGAACAGAUGUGUAAGUAACUGUGCACAUCUUGACGGUACCUAAUCAGAAAGCCACGGCUAACUACGUG
rnacentral:rRNA from 1 species